UUUUCUUUGGGUCGGAUCCUGGGAGCGGGAAGUCUGGGCCCGAGGAUGUGGCGCUUCCUCGCGCCGCCACGUCAUCCUCCCCGUCCUGCCGCCGCCAGCGCGGGGCUGGCCAGGUUCUGGGCGGCCCGCAGGCCCUUCUCACCUGGACUGGGCUAUAGCGCCGUGCCCGCCGCGGGCCUCCGACCCUGACCUUGGCCGGCGAGGCCGCUUCUAGCUGCGCCCCCUCCCUCCCGGCUGCGCGGGCAGCGGGAUCCCGCCUCGGGGAGGGGACCAGACUCCCGGCAUCCCCGUCCGACCGCUCCUCCGGCUCCGGCCUCCUUAUUUGGAAGCUCGCGAGAAGGCCAGAGGCACCUCCUGGGCCACAGCCGCCCAGGUGAGACCAGAGACAUGUAGGAGAGUGAAGAGGAAAGAUAUUGUACUCACAUCUCUAAAGUGGAGGAAAAUACACGGCCCAAGGAUGGUUAAUGUGGACACAAGAUGUGUCUGCGUCUGAAGACGACAGCCCAAGAUGCCAUUAGGAAGCCCCCGUCAUGGUGUCUGCUGGGCCCACCGGGCAUAAGUUUGGAGCCAGGAGGGAAAUGGUUUGGCAGGAAAUCAACAAGCAAUGGGAGGAAGAAGACAGCGUGGGGAAAGCAGAUGCCGGGCAGAGGUCUGGGCUGAGGGGUCUGAGCGGGGAGACUGGGCCAGUCUCGGAAGACCCCCAGGGGCAGGAAGCCCCCGGAGUCCAGGUGGGGCGGUGGCCUCUGUGGAAUUUGCUUGGUGUCCUCAGAGUUGCUCUCAACAACUUCAGCUGGGGUGGAUCCCGGAGAGUUCUUUUUCCCCAUAACUUUUUCUCUCCGGUGUAGCUGGACAGAGGGUAAGACAAGCCGCGGGGAGAAGGAGGGGGACCCCGGGGGCCCACGGCAGACGGGGGACGUUUGAGCACGUGUGUGGUACGUCAACAGUGCUGGGUGAGCGAGGAGACUUGAGGGGUGAUGAGAUGUACAGGAUGACCAGAGACUAGAAAGCUGUAGUCUUUGUAGGCAGUCGAGGCUCAGGACCAGUGGCCCCUGGGAAGCCCAGUCCCCCUCCCCAGGGCCUCACAUAGUCCCCUCACCGCCACCCCAGCCGACCCCUACUUCUUCCCGAAGUCGCCCUCCCCUCCCAACCCAGCUAAGCCAACAUCUUUGACUGAGCUCUGCAAAAAUUCCUUUCCCCUUAACUAUGCCAUAAAAGGGCUGAAAAUUUCCAAAAGGAACACUUAAACGUAGAGGGGAAACCUGGGCGCAGAGAAGCGGGUGAGGUUACAGAGUGCAGACCUCUGAGUCCAACUUGACCACAUCUGGUGGGAGGGCGGCAUGGUGAGCCUGGUGCAGGAGCUGCCUGUUCCUUGGAAUUCCUUGACUCAGCCCAGCCUGUGUGGAGGCCAGUGGACACAGGCCAACGGCUGGACGGAAAUGUGGCUGGUGGGGGAGGCCGGGCGCUGCUUCCAGCCUGGCGGGCCUCAGUGUUUCUCAGAGGCUGCUGGGCCCAGGUCCUCGGCUGGGAAGGGGCUCUCCGCACCCCACCUCACCCUGGGCUGAGCCAGGCCCCUCUCUCAGCAGCACCUCCACCUCCUUGAGUCUUGUCCCAGCCCUGUCUCCUUUCAUGAGGAAGGCCCCAAUUUCCUUCUCAGCUCUUCUCCUGGAGGUUACUGGCUCUCGGCUCAGGACAGCCCACCGCCCCUCUCCACACACACCCAACCUCUCUCUGCCUGUCCAGUUUGACAAAAGCACAUUCAUUGGGUUCCAGGCUGGCUCCACCCUGGAGCUGCCAUGGUGCACCGGGCCCUCCAGUGGGUCUGCACAGACUCCCUGAGGCUCCCCAGUUCCAAGCCUGCAUCACUUUUGGGGUCCCCUUGGAGUUUGGUUUCUUUCCUUUUUCUUUUAAAGUCUGACAAUUUUUAAAAAAUAUUUAUUUUUUUAUUUGGCUGCGCUGGAUCUUAGUUGUGGUACAGGGGAUCUUUGUGCCAUGUGCGGGCUCUUAGUUGUGGCAGGCAGGAUCUAGUUCCCUGACUGGGAAUUGAACCUGGGCCCUCUGCACUGGGAGCACAGGGUCUUAACCACUGGACCACCAGCGAAGACCUGGAGUUUGGUUUCCGACUUGAAGGAUUGAACUCAUUCAAGAGGAAGACAUGGCUGAUCUACUGAAGUGUAAAGGCUUUAAAAAUAUGUUAUUUUUCAAAAUAGGUAAUACAUCUGCAUAUUAAUAUAAUCACACAUGAAACAUAAGUGGCUUUCAUCCCUCUAUCCCUUACCUGUCUCUAGAGGAAACCACUACCUGUGCAUCUUCCAGAGAUAGUCCAUGCAAGCAUAUAUAUAUAUGUAUAUUUUAUGCAAGGUAUGUAUAAAUGUAUAAUAUAUACAUGUAUAUAUUAUAUGCAAGGCAUGAGCACGUGCAUGCAGACACACACACACACACACACACACACACACACAGAGUCAACCCUCCAUAUCUGCAGUUUCCACGUCUAUGGAUUCAACCAAUCAUGAAUCAAAAAUAUUCCAAAAAGAAAAUUCCAGAAAGUUCCAAAAAGCAAAACUUGAAUUUGCUGUGUGGGCCAACAUUAUAAGUAAUCUAGACAUGAUUUAAAGUAUACAGGAGGAUGUGGGUGGGUCAUAUGCAAAUACUACACCCUUUUAUAUAAGGGACUUGAGCAUCUGCAGAUUUUGGUGUAACCUGGAGGUGGAGAGUGGGGCCUGGACCCAAUCCCGCUGUGGAUACCGAGGAGCAGUGACUGUAUAUAAAUUCAUUUAGUAUAUUUUGGAGAUAGGUUGAUAUGCGCAUAGAAAGUGCUUCUUCAUUUAAAAAAUGGCUGCUUGGUAUCCCUUGUAGGAUUGUACAUUUGUUUAACCAAUUCUUUAUUGCCAGGCACUUGGGUUGCUCCCAAUCUCGCUGUCUCACUAAGCCGCAGUGAGCGUCUUUAUCUUCUUAACUAGACUGCUUGGCAUGAGUGCCUGUGUGUCUGUGGGAUGAAUCCUGGCAGUGGUAUCGCUUGGCCAAAAGAUAUGUGCAUUUUUAAUUUUUAUAAAUAUUGUCAAAACGCCCUCUAGAGCGACUGUACUGAUUUUUUAACUCCCGUCAACAUAUUUGAGAGCAUCUAUUUCUCUACAUCCUCACCAACCCAGAAUGCUGUCAAAUUUUUUGAUGUUUGCCAGUCCAGGAGCUAAAAGUAAUUGGUAUGUAAUAGUCAUCAUAAUCCCCGCUUCUUUAUACAAGUAUGGUUAAGCAUCUUCUCAUAUAUUUAAAAGAGCUUUAGAUCCAUUUUUAUGAGCUCUGCUCUAUCCUUUGCCAUCUGUUUUUAUUGGGUUGUUGGUCUUUUUCUUAUCGAUGUCUAGAAGUGCUUUAUCUAUUAAGGGAAUUGACCUUUGCCAACCCCCAUGUUG